rnacentral:sRNA from 1 species
CCGCACGGAUGCCGAAGGUGAAGGCGCUGCAGUGCGCCCUGGCGCUGGAGAUCAGCUCAGUAACUUGCCCAGGAGUCGUGCUUAAAGACAAAGAGGACAUCUAUCUUAGCAUCUGUGUGUUUGGCCAAUACAAAAAGACACAAUGUGUCCCAGCCACUUUUCCCCUGGUCUUCAAUGCCAGAAUGGUGUUUGAAAAGAUGAUACAGCAGUGUUCGAGUUGAUACAGCUAGUUCCACCAGUGGGUGAAACACUGUCUACGUAUGACGAAAAUACACGAGAUUUCAUGUUUCCGGGUCCAAACCAAAUGUCUGGACACCAUGAUUCAAACCGCCAGGUUACCAUGAGGAGGAUUUCUGGCCUUCGAGGAAAUGCUCCAAGGCUGGAAUUUUCUACAACUUCAGUGAUUACUGAAUGUCUGAUAAGUUCAAGGAAAUGCCACACUCAGGAUAAAUUUAUUUACCAUUUGGCUCCAGUUGAAAAAUCACAUGGCAGACUGCAAAACAGAACAUCAAGAUCACAAAAGAAAAAAUCCAAGUCACCUGAGAGAAGUAAAUACUGUAUAAAUGCAAAAAACUACGAACAGCCUACAAUUUCUUCAAAAUCACACUCUCCAUCUCCCUACACAAAAAGACGCAUGUGUGAGCUAUCUGAAGACACCAGGCGGCGGCUGGCCCAUUUAAAUCUGGGACCCUAUGAGUUCAAAAAAGAAACAGAUAAACCUCCAUUUGUGAUUAGACAUGUAUGUGUUCUCUUAAGCAUUUCUAUUUGAAACUGAUCAGCUUUUUUCCCAAAAAAACUGUUAUUCUGAAAUAUCUUUCAACUUCUAGCUUAUAUUAAUAAUACUUUUCUCUUCUGACUGCUACCCUAGCAGUCUAAGAUGGGAAAUUAAUUUAGAAUGAAAGAACUUGCUUUUUUUCAGUCUUCAGACCUGACAGAGAUCAAGCUGUGUUAUGAAUGCCAUGUUAAAUCCUCUCAGUACCGGUUUCCUUUCUUAUACAAUAGAUAGCAUAAUAACACUACCAAUUGAACUUGGUUGUA